rnacentral:rRNA from 1 species
CGUAAAGAGCUCGUAGGUGGUUUGUCGCGUUGUUCGUGAAAUCUCACGGCUUAACUGUGAGCGUGCGGGCGAUACGGGCAGACUUGAGUACUGCAGGGGAGACUGGAAUUCCUGGUGUAGCGGUGGAAUGCGCAGAUAUCAGGAGGAACACCGGUGGCGAAGGCGGGUCUCUGGGCAGUAACUGACGCUGAGGAGCGAAAGCGUGGGGAGCGAACAGGAUUAGAUACCCUGGUAGUCCACGCCGUAAACGGUGGGUACUAGGUGUGGGUUUCCUUCCUUGGGAUCCGUGCCGUAGCUAACGCAUUAAGUACCCCGCCUGGGGAGUACGGCCGCAAGGCUAAAGACGCAAAGAACUUGACGGGGGCCCGCACAAGCGGCGCGAGCAUGUGGAUUCAUUCGACGCAACGCGAAGAACCUUACCUGGGUUUGACAUGCACAGGACGCCGGCAGAGAUGUCGGUUCCCUUGUGGCCUGUGUGCAGGUGGUGCAUGGCUGUCGUCAGCUCGUGUCGUGAGAUGUUGCGUUAAGUCCCGCAACGAGCGCAACCCUUGUCUCAUGUUGCCAGCGGGUAAUGCCGGGGACUCGUGAGAGACUGCCGGGGUCAACUCGGAGGAAGGUGGGGAUGACGUCAAGUCAUCAUGCCCCUUAUGUCCAGGGCUUCACACAUGCUACAAUGGCCGGUACAAAGGGCUGCGAUGCCGCGAGGUUAAGCGAAUCCUUUUAAAGCCGGUCUCAGUUCGGAUCGGGGUCUGCAACUCGACCCCGUGAAGUCGGAGUCGCUAGUAAUCGCAGAUCAGCAACGCU